rnacentral:tRNA from 1 species
AUAAGGUACCCUACUGGAAUCUAAUUAGUGUAAAUAAAAAACUUUUACAAAGCUUUACCUUA